UACGUAGGGUGCAAGCGUUGUCCGGAAUUAUUGGGCGUAAAGAGCUCGUAGGCGGUCUGUCGCGUCUGCUGUGAAAACCUGGGGCUUAACCCCGGGCCUGCAGUGGGUACGGGCAGACUAGAGUGCGGUAGGGGAGACUGGAAUUCCUGGUGUAGCGGUGAAAUGCGUAGAUAUCUGGAGGAAUACCGGUGGCGAAGGCGGCAUCCUGGACCAUUACGUGACGCUGAUGCGCGAAAGCUAGGGGAGCAAACGGGG
rnacentral:rRNA from 1 species